rnacentral:rRNA from 1 species
ACGCUGGCGGCGUGCCUAAUACAUGCAAGUCGAGCGAGAUGUUAGCGCAUGAACCUUCGGGGGAUUAUGCUAACGGACAGCGGCGGACGGGUGAGUAACGCGUAGGCAACCUGCCCUUGACAGAGGGAUAGCCAUUGGAAACGAUGAUUAAAACCUCAUGACACCGUAGAAGCACAUGCUUCAUCGGUCAAAGAUUUAUCGGUCAGGGAUGGGCCUGCGUCUGAUUAACUAGUUGGUGAGGUAACGGCUCACCAAGGUGACGAUCAGUAGCCGACCUGAGAGGGUGAUCGGCCACAUUGGAACUGAGACACGGUCCAAACUUCUACGGAAGGCAGCAGUAGGGAAUCUUGCACAAUGGGCGAAAGCCUGAUGCAGCAACGCCGCGUGAAGGAUGAAGGCCUUCGGGUUGUAAACUUCUGUUCUAAGGGAAGAAACAAGUGACGGUACCUUAGGAGCAAGCCCCGGCUAACUACGUGCCAGCAGCCGCGGUAAUACGUAGGGGGCAAGCGUUAUCCGGAAUUAUUGGGCGUAAAGAGUGCGUAGGUGGUUACCUAAGCGCAAGGUUUAAUUUAGAGGCUCAACCUCUACUUGCCUUGCGAACUGGGCUACUUGAGUGCAGGAGGGGAAAGCGGAAUUCCUAGUGUAGCGGUGAAAUGCGUAGAUAUUAGGAGGAACACCAGCGGCGAAGGCGGCCUUCUGGACUGUAACUGACACUGAGGCACGAAAGCGUGGGUAGCAAACAGGAUUAGAUACCCUGGUAGUCCACGCCGUAAACGAUGAGCACUAGGUGUUGGGCCCGUUAGGCUCAGUGCCGCAGUUAACGCAAUAAGUGCUCCGCCGGGGGAGUACGCUCGCAAGAGUAAAACUCAAAGGAAUUGACGGGGACCCGCACAAGCAGCGGAGCAUGUGG